CGCGUAGGCGGCUUACCGAGUCAGGCGUGAAAUUCCCGGGCUCAACCUGGGGGCUGCGCUUGAUACUAGUGAGCUUGAAUGCGGGAGAGGAUAGUGGAAUUCCCAGUGUAGAGGUGAAAUUCGUAGAUAUUGGGAAGAACACCGGUGGCGAAGGCGGCUAUCUGGCCCGUAAUUGACGCUGAGGCGCGAAAGCGUGGGGAGCAAACA
rnacentral:rRNA from 1 species